rnacentral:rRNA from 1 species
UACGGGGGGGGCAAGCGUUGUUCGGAAUUACUGGGCGUAAAGGGCGCGUAGGCGGCCUCAUAAGUCCGUUGUGAAAGUCAAAGGCUCAACCUUUGAAAGCCGAUGGAUACUGUGAGGCUAGAGUCCGGAAGAGGCGAGUGGAAUUCCUGGUGUAGCGGUGGAAUGCGCAGAUAUCAGGAGGAACACCAAUAGCGAAGGCAGCUCGCUGGGACGGUACUGACGCUAAGGCGCGAAAGCGUGGGGAGCGAACAGG